GGGCGUAAGCGUACGCAGGCGGUUUGUUAAGCGAGAUGUGAAAGCCCCGGGCUCAACCUGGGAACUGCAUUUCGAACUGGCAAACUAGAGUGUGAUAGAGGGUGGUAGAAUUUCAGGUGUAGCGGUGAAAUGCGUAGAGAUCUGAAGGAAUACCGAUGGCGAAGGCAGCCACCUGGGUCAACACUGACGCUCAUGUACGAAAGCGUGGGGAGCAAACGGGAUUAGAUACCCCGGUAGUCCACGCCGUAAACGAUGUCUACUAGAAGCUCGGAACCUCGGUUCUGUUUUUCAAAGCUAACGCAUUAAGUAGACCGCCUGGGGAGUACGGCCGCAAGGUUAAAACUCAAAUGAAUUGACGGGGGCCCGCACAAGCGGUGGAGCAUGUGGUUUAAUUCGAUGCAACGCGAAGAACCUUACCUACACUUGACAUACAGAGAACUUUCUAGAGAUAGAUUGGUGCCUUCGGGAACUCUGAUACAGGUGCUGCAUGGCUGUCGUCAGCUCGUGUUGUGAGAUGUUGGGUUAAGUCCCGCAACGAGCGCAACCCCUAUCCUUAGUUGCUAGCAGGUAAUGCUGA
rnacentral:rRNA from 1 species